CCCCAAAGAGGCCUUCUUCCUUCGCGAGCCCCCCACGGUGUCUUCCUGCUCGCUCCCCUUCCCGGUGCGGCUCUGGGCUCACCCCGCUGCCUCUCCGAGCUUCUGCCUUUGCGUUUGUACAACAGACGCCUUGAGUGUGACGAUUCCAUGGAAAGGUCCAGGUUUGGGCCCUGCACAGCGUCCAGCUCUGAGCAGGGCCUGAGACUGCGUGGGAAGGGCGGUCAGGCAGCCCUCGGUUUGCAAGGGGCACAUUUUUACAAAAAGGCAUCCCCCUGCUGUGCCUCUCUGGGGAAGGCACUUGGCUUCUCUGAGCCUCACCCCUUUCCACAGUCCGCACGGAGGAGGUGGACUCUUACUGGAGGGCUUUUUCCUGGGGAUCAAAUGACUGGCUUCCAGCCGUGCCUGGCACCUAGGAAGGGCUCAGGCCCUGCAGCUGCUGUGGUCGGCCGGGCAGCGGGCUCCGCUCUCAUUCCAGCUGCAUUGAGGACAUGCAGGCUGUCUCGGAGGUAGACGGUGGCCUGGUCUGUGCCUUGGCCCACGAGGCCUCUCUGAGCCUCAGUUUCCUUCUGUGAAACUCACAGAUGCCCAAAAUACGGGUGCCACCAUCCUGGAUCCUGUGGUGAAGGCCACACCAUGCAGAGCAACUGUAAGAUAGAGGAGACUGGGUCCCUGUCACUGAGUGGCACAGUACCUGUCCUCGAACACCUACCCAGACGUCUAAGCAAGAGAAAAGUAAACACCUAUCCUGCUUCAGCUACUGUUAUUUUGUAGCUUGAGACACUUACACCUGAACCAGGUGCUAGAGUGCCUGCCCAGCCUCGGCUCAAAUGCUAUAUGCAAUAUAGGUCAGGGGCCCCAUUACAUGCUCGCAUGGCACCCUCCAGUUUUCCUCGGGAGAACUUGUCCCCAUUGGCUAAUGUCUCCCCCUCCAUCUUGGCUGGAAGCUCUCCAGGGUGGAUGGGUGUCUGUCUGUUCAGUCGUCUCCCCGCACCCAAGCAGAGUCUGCCUGUGGAAGGGGUGUAAGAACUGGGUGUGGACGGCGGAAUGGAGGCCCCCAGGGAGGUAGGUCUUCCCGUAGAACAGAGGGUGGGGAGUGGGCGCAUCAUGAGGAUCUCUGUGGGGACUGGACUCACCCAGUCCCAAUGGUCCCUCCUCCCAAAAGACAGUGGGAGAUGGAGCUAAGGCGUAAGGAGGAAAGUUCUGGAUCUCUUCGGCCAGGGGAGAGACUGCAUCACAGCUGUGGCUUCCGGUGUUGGCCAGCUUCCUGAGAGUCUCAUGUCCUCGGGAGGUCACCUCCCACACUGACUAGGGCUGGCCUGGGGAGCCGACAGGUCAUUGUAGAAUUGUCCGUGUCUGACCCCUGAGGGCCGCUCGUAAAGGGCAUUGAGGCUUCUGCUUACACCUGCCGACUCGCUUGCUCUGGAAGAAGCCACCUUCUGCAUCAUGAACUCAAGCGCCCGGCCAGUGUGGCUCAGUGGUCGAGCGUCGACCUAUGAACCAGAAGGUCACGGUUGGAUUCCCGGUCAGGGCACAUGCCUGGGUUGCAAGCUUGAUUAUUCCCAGUGUGGCACAUGCAGGAGGCAGCCGAUCAGUGAUUCUCUCUCAUCAUUGAUGUUUCUCUCUCUCCCUCUCCCUUCCUCUCUGAAAUCAAUAAAAAUAUAUUAAAAAAAAAAAAAAAAAAGAACUCAAGCCCCCUUACAGAGGGGCAUGGGUGGCAAGAACAGCCCCAGCUGAGCUGCCUCUGAAUUCCCAAGGCUCAUAAACGAUGUGAGGUAACACACGUCGAUCUUAAGCCACUAAAUUGUGGGUACUCAGUUCAGGGCGGGAGAUAGUUUACACAGCCUCUGUCUCCCAGCCAGGCGAGUGAAGUGGAGAACUGGCUGGGCGACCUGGCCACACUGCUGACCUAGCUGGGUGUCUGAGGAUAAAGGGAAGGACAAGAACACCUUACCUGCUGCAGGUAGCCUCUAACAUCGCCGCCCCAAUGAGUCCGCCUCCUGGCAUCCGUACCCUUGUGUAAUCCCCUGCCUUAGAGUGUAGGCUGGACGUGUUGACUCACUUCUAAUAAACAGAAGACGGCGGAAGUGAUGGCAUGUCGCUGCUAAGACGAUGUGUGAAAAGAUGUGGCUUCUGUCUUGGACACUCUUUCUAUCGCUCAGAUCAAUGGUCCUGGGCAAGCCGGCGGCCCUCCCAAGAGGUCCAUGUGGCCAGCUUGCCGGUGGCUCUUCAGAGGCCUGACAACAACUGUUGGAAUGAGCUUAGAAACGGACCCGUUGGGCCCAGUUCCGCCUUGAGGUGACUGCAGCCCUGCAGAAACAAAAACGUGGUCCUCAAAGCUUGCUGAGAAGAUGAAGCCGAGUGCCCAGCGCAUAGUAGGUGCUGAUGAAAUGCUUGCUGAAUCAACCAAUCAAUAAACAAUGGGAUGUUCUAUAGGGUAGAAUGUUCCCUGGAUCCAAAUGCUCACUUCCCUUCACCCCCUCCUGCAAAUACGUCACGGGGAGUUGUUUUAAGCCGGGAAUGGCCGGGUCAGAUUUGUUUUUCUGUAAUAGGAAAAGGGUUUGUGUUCCAUGGGUGUGGCUGCUUCCACUGUGGUCUGCAUGAAGAGAGAGAUUAAGAAAUAAUAAUUCUUUGUUCGUUCAGAGAGGUCUUGAGGGUAACUUGAGCCUCGUAAAAGGUAGGCCUCUGACCAAACAAGUCUCUUUUCUUGUUCUAAUAAAGUCUCAUGACCAGCCAGAAGA